GAACGGGGAAGAGGGCAAACCGAAUGCUUGCAUUCGGGUUUGACGGACUCGUCACAUCCACUUGUACUCAUUUAGUAGAAGUAACGUUGGAAAGGUUAGCCACAGGAGGGUGGAUAGCCCGUAUAUGAAAAUAAUACAUAGGUAGCAGGAUCCAGAGUAGGCCAGGACACGUGAAAUCCGGGCUGAAGCCGGGGAGACCACUCUCCAACCCUAAAUACUACUCUUUGACCGAUAGCGAACAAGUACCGUGAGGGAAAGGUGAAAAGAACCGCAGUGAGCGGAGUGAAAUAGAACCUGAAACCAUCUGCCUACAAUCAUUCGGAGCCCUAUGAUUUAUCAGGGUGACGGCUGCCUUUUGCAUAAUGAUCCUGCGAGUUUGUGGUAUCUGGCGAGGUUAAGCAAACGCGAAGCCGUAGCGAAAGCGAGUCUGAAAGGGCGAUUUAGUCAGAUGCUGCAGACCCGAAGCUGAGUGAUCUAUCCAUGGCCAAGUUGAAGCGAGUGUAAAUGCUGUAGGG
rnacentral:rRNA from 1 species